rnacentral:rRNA from 1 species
UUUUUUUUGGAGAGUUUGAUCCUGGCUCAGGACGAACGCUGGCGGCGUGCUUAACACAUG